rnacentral:tRNA from 1 species
GGAGAGGUGCCGGAGUGGUUGAACGGGCUCGUCUCGAAAACGAGAAUCCUCCCAAAAGGGGGAUCGUGGGUUCGAAUCCCACCCUCUCCGCCA